AUAGUACUCUCUCCGUUCCGAAUUACUUGUCUUAGAUUUGUCUAGAUACGGAGGUAUCUAGCAUUAAAAUGAGUCUAGAUACAUCCGUAUCUAGACAAAUCCAAGACAAGUAAUUCGGAACGGAGCGAGUAUCAU
rfam:Triticum urartu cultivar G1812 contig748758, whole genome shotgun sequence.